rnacentral:rRNA from 1 species
CUGCCCUUAGGUUCGGAAUAACAGCUGGAAACGGCUGCUAAUACCGGAUGAUAUCGCGAGAUCAAAGAUUUAUCGCCUGAGGAUGAGCCCGCGUUGGAUUAGGUAGUUGGUGGGGUAAAGGCCUACCAAGCCGACGAUCCAUAGCUGGUCUGAGAGGAUGAUCAGCCACACUGGGACUGAGGCACGGCCCAGACUCCUACGGGAGGCAGCAGUGGGGAAUAUUGGACAAUGGGCGAAAGCCUGAUCCAGCAAUGCCGCGUGAGUGAUGAAGGCCCUAGGGUUGUAAAGCUCUUUUACCCGGGAAGAUAAUGACUGUACCGGGAGAAUAAGCCCCGGCUAACUCCGUGCCAGCAGCCGCGG